UUGUGUGAAUACAUAGCACAUUCGAGGUAGACGCAGAGAACUGAAACAUCUAAGUACCUGCAGGAAGAGAAAGAAAAUUCGAUUCCCUGAGUAGCGGCGAGCGAAACGGGAAAAGCCCAAACCAGCAAGCUUGCUUGUUGGGGUUGUAGGACUCCAAUAUGGUAGUUCUUUCAGAUAGUCGAAUGACUUGGAAAAGUCAGUCAAAGAGGGUAAAAACCCCGUAGACGAAAUGUGGAAGACACCUAGGAGGAUCCUGAGUACGGCGGAACACGAGAAAUUCCGUCGGAAUCCGGGAGGACCAUCUCCCAAGGCUAAAUACUCCCUAGUGACCGAUAGUGAACCAGUACCGUGAGGGAAAGGUGAAAAGCACCCCGGAAGGGGAGUGAAAUAGAACCUGAAACCGUGUGCCUACAACAAGUCAAAGCCCGUUAAUGGGUGAUGGCGUGCCUUUUGUAGAAUGAACCGGCGAGUUACGAUUGCAUGCGAGGUUAAGUUGAAGAGACGGAGCCGCAGCGAAAGCGAGUCUGAAUAGGGCGUUUGAGUAUGUAGUCGUAGACCCGAAACCAUGUGAUCUACCCAUGUCCAGGUUGAAGGUGCGGUAAAACGCACUGGAGGACCGAACCCACGUACGUUGAAAAGUGCGGGGAUGAGGUGUGGGUAGCGGAGAAAUUCCAAACGAACUUGGAGAUAGCUGGUUCUCUCCGAAAUAGCUUUAGGGCUAGCCUCGGAAUUGAGAAUGAUGGAGGUAGAGCACUGUUUGGACUAGGGGCCCAUCUCGGGUUACCGAAUUCAGAUAAACUCCGAAUGCCAUUCAUUCAUAUCCGGGAGUCAGACUGUGAGUGAUAAGAUCCAUAGUCGAAAGGGAAACAGCCCAGACCACCAGCUAAGGUCCCAAAAUAUAUGUUAAGUGGAAAAGGAUGUGGGGUUGCACAGACAACUAGGAUGUUGGCUUAGAAGCAGCCACCAUU
rnacentral:rRNA from 1 species